AAACAACUUUGAGUCUUUCCUCAUCGCCGUUGUUAAUCCCAACAAGCAAGCACUUGACUGUUGGGAUGAGGAGAAUGGGCUAAGUGGGGAUUAUGCUGCUCUUUGUGAGAAUCCCAAGGCAAAAGAAUACAUUCUUGGGGAACUUAAAAAGCAUGCCAAAGCAAACAAGUUAAAAGCUUUCGAAAUCCCGAAAGCCGUCCAUCUUGACCCAGUACCGUUUGACAUGGAGUGAGACCUUCUCACCCAACCAAACCUAUAAGAAAAUGCGGCAACAGUUGCUCAAAUAUUACCUGGUUAGCCCUUCUUCACCCUUUCUGGGAGGUCCCUAUGAGAAAUAACUAUGAUCUCUCAAUGCAGUAGCAUUACCUGACUUGAAGUAUCAAUUGAUGAUAGCUUUAAAAUAAUUU